rnacentral:rRNA from 1 species
GACGAACGCUGGCGGCGCGCUUAACACAUGCAAGUCGAACGGAAAGGCCUGCUUUCCCUUGUGGAUUGCGGGUACUCGAGUGGCGAACGGGUGAGUAACACGUGAGUGAUCUGCCCCCAACUUGGGUAUAAGCCUGGGAAACUGGGUCUAAUUCCCGAUAGGACUGCAGGGUGGUGCCUGUGGUGGAAAACGCUUUUCUAGUGGUUGGGGAUGAGCUCGCGGCCUAUCAGCUUGUUGGUGGGGUAAUGGCCUACCAAGGCGGCGACGGGUAGCCGGCCUGAGAGGGUGGACGGCCACAUUGGGACUGAGAUACGGCCCAGACUCCUACGGGAGGCAGCAGUGGGGAAUAUUGCACAAUGGGCGGAAGCCUGAUGCAGCGACGCCGCGUGGGGGAUGACGGCCUUCGGGUUGUGAACUCCUUUCGACCGCGAGGAAGCCACCUGGUUGGAAGGGUGGUGACGGUAGUGGUAGAAGAAGCACCGGCUAACUACGUG